AGACUGCUGUGCUAGCAAUCAGGGAGAUUCCGUGGGCGUAGGACCCUCCAAGCCAGGUGUGGGAUAUAGUCUAGUGGUGCGCCGUUUUUUAAGCCUGUCGGAAAAGCGCAGUAUUCUGGUGGGAGUGACCCGAUUUUCCAGGUGCCGUCCGUCACCCCUUUCUUUGACUAGGAAAGGGAACUCCGUGACCCCUUGCGCUUCCUGAGUGAGGCAAUGCCUCGCCCUGCUUCGGCUCUCGCACGGUGCGCGCUCCCACUGACCUGCGCCCACUGUCUGGCACUCCCUAGUGAGAUGAACCCGGUACCUCAGAUGGAAAUGCUGAAAUCACCCGUCUUCUGCGUCGCUCAGGCUGGGAGCUGUAGACCGGAGCUGUUCCUAUUCGGCCAUCUUGUCUCCUCCCCCCAGCCCACAACAGCCUAUGAAGAAUAACUAGAGGUCUUCAUAUCAGAGGCAGAAGGUACUGCAAGCUUACUUUCCAACGUGGCUGCAUCGUUUCACAUUCCCACCAGCAGUAUGAG
rnacentral:lncRNA from 10 species